rnacentral:tRNA from 1 species
AUUAUUAUGGCAGAUUAGUGUAUUAAUUUUAGAAAUUAAUUAAAUAUAAAAAAUUAUAUUAAUAAUA